ncrna:unclassified sequences pemK RNA
AUAAUGAUACUCCUUGAGAUAGUCGGCACGCAGUGGCGGAGGUGAAAUUCUUGUGA